rnacentral:siRNA from 1 species
GGCGAGGCGAUUGAUGAUA